UACGUAGGGGGCAAGCGUUGUCCGGAAUCAUUGGGCGUAAAGCGCGUGUAGGCGGUUCGGUAAGUUUGCUGUGAAAGUCCAUGGCUCAACCCUGGGAUGCCGGUGGAUACUGUCGGACUAGAGUACGGAAGAGGCGAGUGGAAUUCCCGGUGUAGCGGUGAAAUGCGCAGAUAUCGGGAGGAACACCAAUUGCGAAGGCAGCUCGCUGGGACGUCACUGACGCUGAGACGCGAAAGCGUGGGGAGCAAACAGG
rnacentral:rRNA from 1 species